rnacentral:lncRNA from 1 species
GCAGAUUAAACAAAAAUAUCAAUAUAAUAGUUGAGUAAUAAAAAGAAAAAAAAAGAAAGAAUACUGAAAAGCAUAAUUUAACAUUCCAGUGACACAAAAAUACUAUCUUGAGUUAAGUUAUAAAAAUACCGAAACUGUAUGAAAUAAUUAAAUAUAAAGAUCUCGGAAUGUACGUAGAUAACGCCCCGUCACACUAGACGACGAUCGCACCACGCUCACCGCGAUUUAAAAUAAAUCUAAAUCGUGUUGAGCUCGUGGUUUGAGCGGAAUGAAAAUGUAAAUUUCGUUGUCUUCACGAUGCUACGUCCUCAUCACGAUGCUAAACGUCCUCAUUACGCUUCUACAUUGACCCGCUACGAUUAUACAACGUUCCCACCACACUAAUUCUGCGACCUCACUGCGAUUAUCACGUUUUCACUUCGACCAUAUGCCACGCUUUAUCCGAUUGCAACCCGAUCUUAAUUACCACGCUUCUAAUUCGACCAUAGCACGCUUCUAAUGCGAUCAUAGCACGAACUUAACACGAUCAUACCACGUUCACACUGCGAUCUUACUACGCUCUCGGUAAUAACGUCUACAUCGUCUUCCAUAUAAAUACAGUUCUAAUGAAUCCUUUUAUUUCUCACUAGCCGACCGUGCAAGGGCUGUAUGAUCCUGUGUAGCCAGUCAAGGUCGUUAAAAACUUCCAUUUGUUGUACUUGUCAUUUAUACGUAGAUUUCUCGGGAACAAUACAACCAUAAUUGACCAGAACUUGUGGGCGAAGGGUAGAGGUAGAGUUCGAGACAGAAGGGCCUCUGAUACGAAUCUUAAUGUAGUAGAGUGAUAAUACUAUAUGAUUAGCAUAUAUAUUAUACGAAAAAGAUAGCCAUAUUCACUGAUGCAGCUAUUCGAAUCGACCUUCAUGUAAUCAUAUAACUAAUAAAAUUGAAACUGAAGCCUAGAUAAAAGGAUCUCAAAAUGAUAAAAAAAAAAAAAAAAAAAAAAAAAAAUAGAACUAAAAAAGGUCGAUUCUUGUAUAAAAAAAACCCACUUCAUACCUCUUUGAAAAGAUUAAAUUUUGUGAUGAUGUGUUUUUUUUUAUCAUGAGAUGUCUCUUCAUUCAGAUUUGUAAAUGAAAAAGAAAAGUUACUGUCAAAAAGUUAUAUAUAUUAAGGGAGAAGGUUUGGUACCUAUAAGGUACGUAGAUCAUAGGUAUAAGUUUCCCGAGAUAGAAUUUUCUUAUACUUUGCCACAAUGAAGACUUUAUACUAUGCUCUUUUCAAAAAUAUAAUAAAAAGGAUGGGUCACCGUUCUAAUUUUCAAGCUAUUAGUCGUUGAAAAUUGUCUAAAUUUGCAUAGAAUGAUCAUGAAAUUACACAUUUUUGUGCAUAAAAAGAAA